rnacentral:lncRNA from 1 species
CCGUCACCCACAGCCCUGCCCCGACCCACAGCCUGCGUCUCAGUCACUGCCCAUCACCCACAGCCCUGCAUCUCAGUCACUGCCCGUCACCCACAGCCCUGCCUCUCAGUCCCUGCCGUCACCCACAGCCCUGCCUCUCAGUCACUGCCCGUCACCCACAGCCCUGCCUCUCAGUCACUGCCCGUCACCCACAGCCCUGCCUCUCAGUCACUGCCCGUCACCCACAGCCCUGCCUCUCAGUCCCUGCCGUCACCCACAGCCCUGCCUCUCAGUCACUGCCCGUCACCCACAGCCCUGCCUCUCAGUCCCUGCCGUCACCCUGGCUGCUCCUGGAGUUGCACAGAAAUGGAAUUGUGUGCUUGGAUGCCUCCGUGCCCAGCCCCUGUCCCUCCGCGAUUCCUCCUUGCUGCUUUGCGGAGCAGUUGUUGGCCGCUCACAGCUGGGCAGGGCCCGUCCUGGCAACAGACCCCUCCUGCUGCGGUGGUUCCCUCGGUGGUGGACGGGGCUGUCGGCACAUUUUAGCUGUCACCAAUAAAGCUGCUGUGAACAUCCCUGUACACGUCGUUGUGUGGAAUGAGUUUGGUGUGUCUUAGGGAACUCCUUGGGAGUGGAAUGCCUGAGUCACCAGUUAUUCACUUUCACUGCCAGAAUAUGCGAUGGGCUCUCGGGUAUGCAGUGUGCCAGUCAGCCCCACCCUGACACAGCGGAGCAGAGAGAGACGGUCCUGACGGAGCAGGCCAGGGAUCAGCACCGCCCACUGGGCCUCUGACCCCUCUGACCCAUGACCUCCAAGCCCUGCGGUCAGUCUGUGCCCAGGCCCAGUCUGUGCUGGAGCCCUCCCUGCAGCCCCCUCUGGCAGGACUUCAGAGGGAUCCCCAGCUCCUGGCCCACAUGGCCGCAUCUGGCCCAAACACACAUUCCUUUCGCCACUCUCCUCUGAAUGGAAUCUGGCUUGCCCCGCACAGCCUCUGCCUCCCUCUGCCCCGCACAGCACCCUCCCUCCCUCUGCCC